rnacentral:rRNA from 1 species
AUUGAACGCUGGCGGCAGGCCUAACACAUGCAAGUCGAACGAGUGGCGGACGGGUGAGUAAUGUCUGGGAAACUGCCCGAUGGAGGGGGAUAACUACUGGAAACGGUAGCUAAUACCGCAUACCAUCGGAUGGGACCAGAUGGGAUUAGCUAGUAGGUGGGGUAACGGCUCACCUAGGCGACGAUCCCUAGCUGGUCUGAGAGGAUGACCAGCCACACUGGAACUGAGACACGGCCCAGAAUCCUACGGGAGGCAGCAGUGGGGAAUAUUUGACAAUGGGCGCAAGCCUGAGGCAGCAAUGCCGCGUGUAUGAAGAAGGCCUUCGGGUUGUAAAGUACUUUCAGCGAGGAAGCGUUAACCGCAGAAUAAGCACCGGCUAACUCCGUGCCAGCCGCCGCGGUAAUUG